rnacentral:rRNA from 1 species
UUUAUGGAGAGUUUGAUCCUGGCUCAGGAUGAACGCUGGCGGCGUGCCUAAUACAUGCAAGUCGAGCGAACGGACGAGAAGCUUGCUUCUCUGAUGUUAGCGGCGGACGGGUGAGUAACACGUGGAUAACCUACCUAUAAGACUGGGAUAACUUCGGGAAACCGGAGCUAAUACCGGAUAAUAUUUUGAACCGCAUGGUUCAAAAGUGAAAGACGGUCUUGCUGUCACUUAUAGAUGGAUCCGCGCUGCAUUAGCUAGUUGGUAAGGUAACGGCUUACCAAGGCAACGAUGCAUAGCCGACCUGAGAGGGUGAUCGGCCACACUGGAACUGAGACACGGUCCAGACUCCUACGGGAGGCAGCAGUAGGGAAUCUUCCGCAAUGGGCGAAAGCCUGACGGAGCAACGCCGCGUGAGUGAUGAAGGUCUUCGGAUCGUAAAACUCUGUUAUUAGGGAAGAACAUAUGUGUAAGUAACUGUGCACAUCUUGACGGUACCUAAUCAGAAAGCCACGGCUAACUACGUGCCAGCAGCCGCGGUAAUACGUAGGUGGCAAGCGUUAUCCGGAAUUAUUGGGCGUAAAGCGCGCGUAGGCGGUUUUUUAAGUCUGAUGUGAAAGCCCACGGCUCAACCGUGGAGGGUCAUUGGAAACUGGAAAACUUGAGUGCAGAAGAGGAAAGUGGAAUUCCAUGUGUAGCGGUGAAAUGCGCAGAGA